GACGAACGCUGGCGGCGUGCUUAACACAUGCAAGUCGAACGGAAAGGCCCUGCUUGUGUGGGGUGCUCGAGUGGCGAACGGGUGAGUAACACGUGAGUAACCUGCCCUUGACUUUGGGAUAACUUCAGGAAACUGGGGCUAAUACCUGAUAGGAGCUCCUGCUGCAUGGUGGGGGUCGGAACGUUUCGGCGGUUGGGGAUGGACUCGCGGCUUAUCAGCUUGUUGGUGGGGUAGUGGCUUACCAAGGCUUUGACGGGUAGCCGGCCUGAGAGGGGGGACAGCCACAUUGGGACUGAGAUACGGAGCAGACUCCUACGGGAGGCAGCAGGGGGGAAUAUUGCACAAUGGGCGGAAGCCUGAUGCAGCAGCGUCGCGAGCGGGAUGACGGCCUUCGGGUUGUAAACCGCUUUCGGCUGUGACGAAGCGUGAGUGACGGUAAUGGGUAAAGAAGCACCGGCUAACUACGUG
rnacentral:rRNA from 1 species